AUUGAACGCUGGCGGCAGGCUUAACACAUGCAAGUCGAGCGAGUGGCGGACGGGUGAGUAAUGUCUGGGAAACUGCCUGAUGGAGGGGGAUCACUACUGGAAACGGUAGCUAAUACCGCAUACCAUCGGAUGUGCCCAGAUGGGAUUAGCUCGUAGGUGGGGUAAAGGCUCACCUAGGCGACGAUCCCUAGCUGGUCUGAGAGGAUGACCAGCCAAACGGGAACUGAGAAACGGUCAAGACUCCUACGGGAGGCAGCAGUGGGGAAUAUUGGACAAUGGGGGCAAGCCUGAUGCAGCCAUGCCGCGUGUAGGAAGAAGGCCUUCGGGUUGUAAAGUACGUUCAGCGGGGAGGCGUUACCCGCAGAAGAAGCACCGGCUAACUCCGUGCCAGCAGCCGCGGUAAUAC
rnacentral:rRNA from 1 species